rnacentral:rRNA from 1 species
UACGUAGGGGGCUAGCGUUGUCCGGAUUCAUUGGGCGUAAAGGGUGUGUAGGUGGCGCCGUAAGUCGGGUGUGAAAUUUCGGAGCUUAACUCCGAAACUGCAUUCGAUACUGCCGUGCUUGAGGACUGGAGAGGAGACUGGAAUUUACGGUGUAGCGGUGAAAUGCGUAGAUAUCGUAAGGAAGACCAGUGGCGAAGGCGGGUCUCUGGACAGUUCCUGACGCUGAGGCACGAAGGCCAGGGGAGCAAACGGG